UUCCUCCGGGAAAAAAAGGUUCACCGCAUCCCCCCACCCGCACGCCGGCGCUUGCAUCGCCCCCACGGCUCCGCCUCGCUUGGCACCGGCCCACCUCGCCGCCGGCCCUCCCCCUCACCUUCUCCCACCUUGCAGCGCCGGCGUGUGCCAGAUCCGCCUGCAUCCCCCAGCCAACCAUCCCUCUCACAUCUCAUCUCUCUCUCCAUGCGGCUCCUCGCUGCGCUACCUGCCGCGGCUGAUCCAAACGACGUCCGGCGAAUCCCCACCACCACGAAGCACCGCUCGAGGCCCCCUCGCACUCGUGGCGCCCUCUCAUACGACUAGAUCCGGCGCUCGCGGCCAGUAAAGCUCACCGGCGACCCUCCUCCCAUGGCUAGGGUUUCGGGCAUCUACUCCGGCGCCGGUGGCCAAGUUGCCCUCCUCUCGUCCGACGUGGAGGGAGGUACUGUGGACAGCCUUCCUGCUGCUCGGGACGAAGUAGCCAUGGAGCUUCCUCCUCCUCCUCUGGCUUCAGGUGAGUUUGUCCGCCGUGAUCCAUCUAACGGCCAGCGCGAUGACCUAGAAAGUAGGACAGGGCCUGGACAUGGUAGGUCACAAACAUCCAUCUAUUUUGCCCUCCUGUACAUAUUUUGAUGUUGGAUCGGUGCUGUGUUUCAAUUGCUAAGAAAGCAGAAUAAAAGGGCUAUGUUCUGUAGUUAGCAGCUGGACCUAGGCGUCUCCAUAUCAUACCUCCACAAAGAAAAUAUCAUACUAAAUCUACUAUUAUGUCAGUUUGCCCAUAUGCACAAUUUACCUUUUUCCUAACAAGUUCCGAUCCUCACCCCUUCACUAGCUACUUACUCAUGGUGCUGGUCAAUGCACUCUAUGUGGUAAACUGCUACGAGGCUCUAUUCUUUUUCUUCAAAAUAAAUUACUUUAAUUAUAAGAGAUGGAGUUUUUUCCAGGAAUAUUUGAUUACUGUUUGGUUUGAUCAGCUAGGGAUACCAUAUUUUUGAAAAGCAAUCAAAAUCUGUUUCUGGGUAGAUGCACUGCAAAAAUACCAGCAUCAUUAGAACAUAAAGAUAGGGAUGUGCUUAAUAAUUACCCUCACUGUCCUACUGAUAGUUCUCUUUGUUCUUGCAAAGGUGCUUAUUAAUCCACUGAAACCAUGUUAUAAGAUGCAAUUGUUUUAUCUCCUGAAAAAGCAUGAAGAUUUGUUUCUUUUAGUAAUUAAUUGAAACCACCUGUAAGCCUGCAAUGAAGCUUCUAUUAUUUUUGUCUCAUCAAUUCGGUAGCUAUUUUAUGCAAUAUGUUUUACUUAAAUUUCAGCAAAGGGAGCAUCUAUAUUUUGACAUAUGAACUGGUCUCUUUUUCUUUUCUUGACGGAGCGCACCUGGGCUCUUGAACGGCAUUCAAUACCCUGGUCAUAUCCUCAAAUUAAGCCAAUCUCACCAUGGGUCUUAUUCGCUGCCACCACCGGCAUGUUUCCAGCCGACCACCCAAAGACACUAACUUCAUGCAAAAUCGCAUUGCAGAUCGCAGGUGCAGCAGACUUGAUCCCCUUAGAUUGAUCCCACACUUAGAUUUGUCCGAUGGUAAUCCAUGUCGUCAUUAGCAUGAUGCCUUGCAAAGUGGGGCUGACCAGGGUAGUGUCUGUACACAGUGGGUCAUAAGCCUCUGCUGCUUUGUCGUACAAGCUAUGCUUUUGCUGAUGCUGUGUGUUUCACUUCAUAAUAUUUUUCAUCAGCAUAUUCAUCACGUCUUACACUACGGUCUCGGCAGGAAGUAGUAUACUUCAUAAUAAAGUGAAAACUGUAGAUAUGUUUUAAAGGCAGACUGGUCAUCGUUUGCUACCAAGAUGUGGGCGAGAGCGCGUAAUCGAUGAUAGGCUGAGGAGGCUAAGCCGAUAUGCAGUGGCUGGUACCUGUUGGAUGUCAUUGACGGCUAAGUGCAACCUGUGGCACAAGACGCCGACAAAGGGAUUCUCAACACCUGCUAAACUGGCCUAAGAAUUUGAUUGUUAUUCUGCUUUAGUUACGGGUACUGUUCUUCUAUCCAAUUGAAUGAUUCUCAUGUGAUGCAUGGCUGGGUCUUGGCUUCAUAUAAUAUAUUUUGGAGCACUCGUUCCAAUGGAUAUGACGGUCUGCAAGUGUAGGAUGGCUGAUGCUUGCCUUUAUAUAUCUGGAUUUUGGUGUUGGUCUGAUUGCUCCAGUUUUUACUGUUAGUAUACAUGCAUUAGCAUGAAGUAACUAACAAAAAGUUACUAUAUCGUAGGAGCUAAUAUUUUUUAAUGCCAUACUUAUAAGCGAUCUAGAUAAUUCAUAGCUGUAAUGCCAUUUAAAUUUCUCAAUGCAUUGCUUCUGAACAGUUGUCAAUAAUCAUGCCUUUUUGCUUUCUUUUUGCUAGCAUCAUGUCGAUAUGGCACUGUGAAAAUUGAAGAUUUGGUAUGGAGUCGCAAAAACUGCAAUACUCUCGGUAAUGCAGAAAAAACAAAGAUUUCAUGGUCUUCAACCUUUAUUCAAAAGAUACAUGGAUGAUUAUAUGGGUGUGUGGCAAGUAUACUGCAAUGAUGAUGAUGUUUCGGUUCAUCAUGAUGAUGAUGGAUGCUUUCAGUUUAAGACAACUUGUUCACAAGGAGUGUGCUUCCUUCUACAGAGACAGCUGGUACACAUGGAGGUAGUGAAACACAUUCAGAAACACUUGAGAUAUUUGUCGCAUAUUGUAUUUUUUAAGCUGGUGAUUGUUGUUAUUGUUUUGCUGCGAUUUAUUAGAUUCUUCUGUGUUGUGCCAUGUUUAUGCACACAUUAACAGUUGGCAAACUCUUAUCGUCGAUUAAUUAGCGAUCUCCAGCCAGUUUAGUGAUAGAGAUGUAAUUGGCAGUAUCUGAUACUGAACAAUUUCAUUUUGUUUCCACAAUUACCACUCCACCAAACUAAUUCCCUUACCUAAUUAUAGUGCAACUAAAUUGAGAUAAUUUUUUUCCUUUUAUUCUGGGUCCUGUAUCCUAAAAUGAGUUGCCAAAUUAUUUGUACAGGGUGGUCAAGGCAAUGUCUAUUUGUUGUUGUUGGGCCAAUAUUUGUUUUUGUUCUUUGGUAUUGUACUAUUUUGUUCAAUGAAAUACUUCAGAAUGACAAUGCGACAACAUAUGUAAACAUUCUUUACUACUUUCUCAGUCUGUGAUGAAAUCAUUGGAAGUUGUAGGCCUUUGUAGCUUUGAUGCUUGCUCUUCUGCGGCUGGAGAUAAGACUGCUACACUGUUCUUUAAUUGUAGGUUGCAUCAAUGGUAACGCUGGUUUCACAAAAACAAGAUUGCUAGGAUAUGCUGCUUAUCAUUACGGUGAAUACAUUAUUGUUCCUUUUGUUUGUGGUUUGACAAACCGUUACCAAAUGAUUUCUACAUCGUACAUUGUGGCACUCGAAAAGAGCACUCCCAUUUCCUGUUAAUUUGAUGAUUUAAGAGAUGUUUGACUACUAUCAUGUCAAGUUGGAUGUUUUGCAUCAUUAUUUUUUACUUCCUAAUAGCUUACUCUUUAUUUCGGAAUAAUAGAUUUUUAACAAUCUUUAGCAUCACCACCUCACUUAUAGAAAGUACUGAUAUAUAUGUGUGCCUGAUAAAUUGUUGCACAAGAUUCUGAUUUCACCAUAUAUAUUCUUUACAAAAUACUAUCACUUUCUCCUCAUUUUUUUAAAUUUUCAGGUUGGGUUCGUUACUCGUGGUGGCAAAAAAGAUGGCACCUACCUUGUAUCUUGUUGGCCAAGGGUAGGAAGGGACACUUUGCAGAUGGAAGGGGGUGUUGUAGGGCAGUUACUCUAAAGGAAUGAAUGGAAAAAGGCAGAGGUGUUUAUCAUCGAAAACUAAACUUGCAUGUACCCAUCUUAUGUGAAUAAGCAUGUAACCAGCUUAUAUCGAUAUUUUCAUUGUAAUGGAGACAUAAGACACAAGUGACAUGUUAAACUCAAAUAAUAUUUUUAUUAGUA